rnacentral:rRNA from 1 species
AUGGCACUAUGGCAGGAUGAUGAGCAGCCGACCAGCCUCCAGCUUCCUCUUCUCUUUCUUCCUUUCUCACGGGGUCUUCGUGGAAGCCAAGGCCAAGCUGUGACCUACCUGCAGGGACAAGAAGAAACGUCACGAAGAGUCAUUGUGUUGCUGGCAGCCGCACGUUACAGUGCUCUAGUGAUUGCACGGUUGCGCCUCCCUUUGGUCGUGCGGUUUAUGAACCAAACCUCAAAAGCAGCCGCAGAUUCCCAAUUCUCCAUCGGUCGAAACAUAUUAUGCAACUGCCAACUGCAAGUGCCUGCCUCGUGA